UGUUCGCCAGUGAAAAAGAUCACCCUAAGAUGAAAACACUUUUUUUGUCUUGCCCAGAGCUUUCGGUCCCGAUGUGGAAAAAAGUGUUUUCAUCUUAGGGUGACCUUUUUCA
rnacentral:pre_miRNA from 1 species